rnacentral:rRNA from 1 species
CUGCUUAACGGUCCGCCACCCCUGGAAACGGUUCAGCCGGAGGUAGGGUCCAGCGGCCGGAAGAGCACCGCACGUCGCGUAGUGUCCGGUGCGCCCCCGGCGGCCC